rnacentral:lncRNA from 1 species
UACUCAAGUACAAUGAGAGUGGAUCAAGGAAGUUUCUGAAAUGCGUAACUGAUGUAAAAAGCAAGCUAUAAUCAAAUAAAAUCCACUGAAUGUAAAGUCCUGUAAUUAGAAAAUAUUCCAAUCACAACGGUAUGUUUCAUUUUUUUCUAUUGGUAAACUUCCUCAGCAUGAAUAUAUUACCCCCUCAAGACCCAAUCCUAUGCUCACUAAAUAACCCUCUGGUUACAAUCUAUCCCACGGAGGAAUACUAUGUCUCAAAAAGGUGUAAUAAUCCCUAUUGGAAAUCCUAGCUGGGAAAAAAUAUCUUUUCUACCCUCCCACAACCAUCCAAGUGCUAGCUGCUCGACCACCACAUAC